rnacentral:rRNA from 1 species
AAACUGGAGGAUGGCGACCGGCGCACGGGUGAGUAACACGUAUCCAACCUGCCGAUAACUCGGGGAUAGCCUUUCGAAAGAAAGAUUAAUACCCGAUAGUAUAAUGAAACCGCAUGGUCUUAUUAUUAAAGAAUUUCGGUUAUCGAUGGGGAUGCGUUCCAUUAGGCAGUUGGUGGGGUAACGGCUCACCAAACCUUCGAUGGAUAGGGGUUCUGAGAGGAAGGUCCCCCACAUUGGAACUGAGACACGGUCCAA